rnacentral:rRNA from 1 species
GUGAGGAAUAUUGCGCAAUGGGCGAAAGCCUGACGCAGCAACGCCGCGUGGGUGAGGAAGGUCUUCGGAUCGUAAAGCCCUUUUCUGUGUGACGAGGAAGGACGGUAGCACAGGAAUAAGUGUCGGCUAACUACGUGCCAGCAGCCGCGGUAAAACGUAGGACGCAAGCGUUAUCCGGAAUUACUGGGCGUAAAGCGCGCGCAGGCGGGUGAGCAAGUCAUGUGUGAAAGCUCCUGGCUAAACUGGGAGAGGACGGAUGAAACUGCUCAUCUGGAGGGUGUUAGAGGAGUGUGGAAUUCCGCGUGUAGUGGUGAAAUGCGUAGAGAUGCGGAGGAACACCAGAAGCGAAGGCGGCACUCUGGGACACGCCUGACGCUGAGGCGCGAAAGCAUGGGUAGCGAACGGGAUUAGAAACCCGUGUAGUCC